CAUCUUGAGCAUGGAGCGGGGACAGGCGACAGUGCCUUAGCGCUGUCCCCCGUCCUGGAACCUCGUGCAGCCGCCCGCCCCGCCCAGCGCUUCCCGAAGGGACUGCCAGCACUCGCUCGCGAGCGGUAGGCGGGCCGAAGCCUCGAGCUGCGUGCCUGCGCCGGGACGCGCAUGCGCGGAGCUCAGUGUGCCGCGGCGGCGAGAGAGGGAGCUCGUGCCGCGUCGCCCUGCACGUGCGGUGUUCACGCACACACCAGUUGUAUUGGUGUGACUCAGGAAGCACAAAUGCUUUCAGUGUUCUCCUGGCCUACUCAAGUUUAUAGCAAGGCCAAAUGGCACCUGGGAUGGGAUAACUCCUGAUAUCUGCAAGAUUCUCUUCUCUUCGCAGGUCCCAGUGUUGUUUCUUCCCUCUCUGACGCUUUCAACAAGCUGUUCUGUGUUCUCUCUUCGCUAUUACGCUAACUCCAUCUAAGGUUUUCACCCCUCCUACUGUCUCCUUCGUACCCAGUUUUUAUUCUUAUUAAUCCAUAUUUUUUUAGCAUUUCUCUUUUGGAAAACUGCCCUCCGGUCAGAACAGGGGUGCUGCUUGCACUGGGGAGAAUGGUGAAGCUGUCUGAAUUCACUGCAAUACAUGGCCAAACAAGGAUUCACCACUUUAUUCUGUAGUUUUUGCAUUCUACGGAUGAGGUUCAUCUGCUUUUCCUCAAGAGAGUGAAGAGCAAAGUAUGUGAGACAGAAAGUUUGUGGUAAACUCACUGAAAGUGCCAUUUCACUAAGCAACACUAUAAAGUAAAGGUUGAAGUAAAGGUCUCAAGAGCUCUAUGAACAAUUGUUAACUUUGGACAUGGUCCUGAUCAAAGGAAAAAUCAUCAUUAUUACAAAAGAAUGCAGUGUAGCUUGUUUCAAGUUCAGUGUCAUCUACCCGUUCCUGCGCCCCAUGAAGGAAAAAAGCAAAGCAACUUUUAUAAUUAUGCAUUUGCAGACUGAUACUUUAUUACACCUCUAGUAGUCGUAGGAAAUAGUUACUUUUGUUGGGAAAGGAUCCAUUUUUUUCCUCCCUGGAAAUACAGUAAAGCACUGAUCUACAUUACCUCUGCAUCUUUUUUACUUUUCGUGGUAUUUCAUUAAUAUUCAUAUGUUUUCUCCACUAAAAACUCUUACAACAUCCUGAAAUGACUGAGUUGUCCCACAGAAAAUUAACGCAGAAAGUAAUUCAUGCAUGAGGUAAGCAAUGAAAACAUAAUCGAAUCGUAAGCAGAGAAUGACAAUAGAAAAUAAGUUAAUGGAAGACGUUUGUGUAAUAUUUCAUAAUGGAGCACCUUGCCAUGCGUGACUUUAGUAUUACCACAUCAAGGGUGUGUUGCGUGGCAGUUGGCCAAACCCCAUUGUUUUCUAUUGUUCUGGGUGUGAUCCUAAAAUGUUGUUUUUUGGAUUGCAGCUGCUGUUACAGAUAUCUGCCAUUAGAUUAAAGAUAGAGGGAAACAUCCAGCAUUCAGGACUCACCGCAGCUCACCCCAGGUGAAAGCAAUCCUCACCUUACUUCAGGAGUUAGAAGAUUGCUGCCUGAUUUUCCUUCUUCCCGUGCCACCAUAGAUCUAACCCACAGAAGGCAGCAGUGUGGAGAACUGACCUGUGCUUGCCAGCCGCAGAACAGCCUGUGGUCACAUUGCUUCAGCCUUAUUUCCUCUGUGGGGGCAUCCACACCAUGGUGCAUUAACCUUUACCUUUGUUUUCUAUUGAAAACUCCAACUGGUCUGCAGCACCUUUUAGAGCAAAUGCAGACCCUGAGGUCACGAACUGGCUGAAACAACAAGGAGCAGACUUGCAGGCCAUUAAAAGCGUGACAAAAAGGGGGGGGGGGGGAACGCAAAAAACCCCCACCUUUAAAAAAGGUCACUGUAGUCAGAACUAGCAGUUUGCUUUCAACAAAGGAAUGUUAAUUUAGGAAAAAAUUUGCCUUUUAGUUUGCUGAAGAAGAUUAUACACUAAGUGUUGUCCUUAACGAUAUCACUAAAGAUGAUCUGCGCUACCUUCAGCUGCGGGGUGGUCUUCUCUGCAGAAUUUGGAAUGCAAUAUUAAACCACCGACAAACAUCUGGCAAGACCUCUGCACACGUGGUUAAUGCUUUGGAAGGAGAACAUGACAUGGGAAUAAACAAAUGAAAACAGCAUUCCCUACACUUAUUAGAUGUAUAUAUGUGUCUGUACAGUGGCCUUGCAGGUUUUGCACAGUGAUGUAGCUUGUUUGACCUUCAGUGUAACACACAGUGAGUAGUAAAGCUUUUAACUCAGUGUCAAUGCACUUACUUAAAUUAUUUCUGACAGCGUAAUGCAGAAGUCAAAUGCCUAUCACUGUAAUCUAAAGCAUUAGCUGAGGAGAAAACACCACCUUCUCUGCAACCCAGGCACCACACACCUACAUUGGCUUUAGCGUUGUGAAAACUCCAAACUUUAACAUGUUACAGCUCUGGUGGUUGGAGCAGGGAGGGGAUGUGCCAGAGCUCGUGGCACCUUUUAGCACAUGCCUGUAUACAACUUUUGCAUUAAAGCUGCUCUCACAGAACUACUAAGAAAA